CACAGCUGUACUUGUAACCAAUAUGAGAAACUUCCCUCUCAGUAGGGGUACUGUUUCUGGCAUUCUCAAAGGUUAUGUUGGGAUCUCUGCUGCAGUUUAUACUGUGCUUUUCAAUUUGGUGCUUGGUGACUCUGCUUCAAAGCUUCUGCUAUUCCUUACAAUUGGCAUUCCUAUUAUUUGUCUAGCAAUGAUGUUCUUUGUUCGGCCCUGUACUCCAGCUUCUGGAGAAGACUCUUCUGUCCAUGUCCAUUUCAUUUUCACCCAAGCUGCAAGUGUUGUGCUUGCCCUUUAUCUUCUCAUAUCCACUGUAAUAAGUGAUGUGAUUCCUUUAAGUGAUACUGUUUCAUACAUAUUAGUUGCCAUAAUGGUUAUUAUUUUGAUGUCUCCUCUUGCAAUUCCUUUCAAAAUGACUCUUUUUCCUGUAAG
rnacentral:misc_RNA from 1 species